AGUGAACGCUGGCGGUAGGCCUAACACAUGCAAGUCGAACGGCAGCACAGUAAGGGCUUGCUCUUACGGGUGGCGAGUGGCGGACGGGUGAGGAAUACAUCGGAAUCUACUUUUUCGUGGGGGAUCACGUAGGGAAACUUACGCUAAUACCGCAUACGACCUACGGGUGAAAGCAGGGGAUCUUCGGACCUUGCGCGAUUGAAUGAGCCGAUGUCGGAGUAGCUAGUUGGCGGGGUAAAGGCCCAGCAAGGGGACGAUCCGUAGCUGGUCUGAGAGGAUGAUCAGCCACACUGGAACUGAGACACGGUCCAGACGCCUACGGGAGGCAGCAGUGGGCAAUAGGGGACAAUGGGCGCAAGCAUGGUCCAGCCAUACCGCGUGGGUGAAGAAGGCCUUCGGGUUGUAAAGCCCUUUUGUUGGGAAAGAAAAGCAGCAGGUUAAUACCCCGCUGUUCUGACGGUACCCAAAGAAUAAGCACCGGCUAACUUCGUG
rnacentral:rRNA from 1 species